AGAAGACUCUGGCUCCGGUCUGCAGAACAGUGCUGAGCUGGUAAACUGGGGUAUCAUUACAAAGAGAGGCUGUCUCAAACCCAUCACAGAAUGAAAGGAAGUCACCAUUUCUGAGAAUAUGCAAUUGGUCAAUUGACAAUCAAUAUUAUCAGUUUCAUAAACAAUCUCUAUGAGCAUUAACACAAGACAUUAUAUUAGAGGCCUCUAUGCCAA
rnacentral:lncRNA from 1 species